AGUGAACGCUGGCGGUAGGCCUAACACAUGCAAGUCGAACGGCAGCACAGUAAGAGCUUGCUCUUACGGGUGGCGAGUGGCGUACGGGUGAGGAAUACAUCGGAAUCUACUUUUUCGUGGGGGAUAACGUAGGGAAACUUACGCUAAUACCGCAUACGACCUACGGGUGAAAGCAGGGGAUCUUCGGACCUUGCGCGAUUGAAUGAGCCGAUGUCGGAUUAGCUAGUUGGCGGGGUAAAGGCCCACCAAGGCGACGAUCCGUAGCUGGUCUGAGAGGAUGAUCAGCCACACUGGAGCUGAGACACGGUCCAGACUCCUACGGGAGGCAGCAGUGGGGAAUAUUGGACAAUGGGCGCAAGCCUGAUCCAGCCAUACCGCGUGGGUGAAGAAGGCCUUCGGGUUGUAAAGCCCUUUUGUUGGGAAAGAAAAGCAGCAGGUUAAUACCCCGCUGUUCUGACGGUACCCAAAGAAUAAGCACCGGCUAACUUCGUG
rnacentral:rRNA from 1 species